UGAGGCACUGGAACAGGUUGCCCAAGGAGGCUGUGGAUGCCCCAUCCCUGGAGGCACUCAAGGCCAGGCUGGAUGUGGCUCUGGGCAGCCUGGUCUGCUGGUUGGUGACCUGCACACAGCAGGGGGUUGGAACUGGAUGAGCAUUGUGCUCCUUUUCAACCCAGGCCAUUCUAUGAUUCUACGCUCUGAAUAUCUGACAAGCAACCCCUGGCUUGUCACAGCUAUUCUUGAAGGAAAAGAGAUACUAACUAAAGUGGUAGUUAAUGCUGAUGCUUGUGAAGGUACUAGGCAUGUGAGAACGUUUUGUGUGAUUACAUAUUAAAUUGUUCUGCAAAAUAUUUGUACAUAAAAUAGCACUGCUUAAUGACCGUUUUAUGAGGUUGUCUUUGGAAAAUCUAAACAUUUACUGUAACAACACACUGAAAAAUAGCUCCCCAGAAAGCAUUUGGUUCUGCAAAUACUUAGAGUGUUUCCCAGCCAUUUCUGAAUAUGGCCCUAGGGCUUGUGUUUACUGUUAUUUAUCUCUGUACUGGAAAAGGAGACAGGCACAGAAAUCUGGUGUUGUUCUGUACUAAGGAGGUGUGGGUUCGGCACUCCUGUAGGGUUCCAGUGUUGUCUCAAUUUCUCUGUGCCUUUAAAGCACAGCUACAAAAUAUAAAAUCAUGCUGACUGUGAGGUUGUGAGACACUUGGACAGUGAUCCUUUUGUAUAGGAGAGGGAAAAAGGUAGUUCACAGGUUAAUUAAGGAGUUACUUUGCGACAUUGCACAGAGACGCACAAAUGCAAAAUGCUGUCAGUGACAGCCUGUAUUCCAAAGAACUUUUCCAGAAAGCAAGUUGAGGAGAAGGAGAGGCCAAAUGAGGGGUUGUGAUGCAGAUCCUGUGUGCAGCUCCUGAGUCGACCAGCCCUGGUCGUCCAGCCCUGACCGUUCUCUGCCUUUCUGUUAUUAGCGGGUUACCUACAGUUGCAACUUUACUGUUUUCACUGUUGAUUUUUGUCCUCAGAUGUAUGGGGAAGUGUAGAAUAAAGCUAGAGAAGCAACAAUGAAGGCUGCAAUUGACAAAGCAAGGGUGCGUCCCCUGGAAGGAGGUAUCUGCCAUGCACCUGCUCUCAUGGUCUUCAAAAGAAAACCUGUUCUGGAGGCCUCAUCACCACUGAGGGAGACAAGCAUCCAUGAUGGUACCCAUAUCUCCUGGAUUUGGUUGUGGAUAAUUCCCUGCAGCCGUUUCACCUGAAAAUGGUACCUUCUUCCAAGCCAAUCUCUUAUCCCUGCUGGAGUCAAUUUGAGUCAGAAGGUCUAAAAUUAUCCCAGAGGACAACUCCACUGAG